rnacentral:lncRNA from 1 species
CCCCCCUCCCUGCCUGUCCCUCCGUCCGUCCGGCUGCCUCAGCCUCCUGCCCUGCUGCCCGCCGGCUCGCCCAGCCGCACCUCUCCCCCCCGCGGGGGGGGGGGAGCCGGCAAAGCUCCGCUCCGCUCCGCGGCCGCGCCCGGCGGCCGCCCCCAGGGCGCGGGCGGGCGGGGACGAGCUGCGGGGAGGGGGGGGGGGAGACCACGGCUUCAGCGCAUCGCGGAGCGGCCGCGGGUGCCUGCGGGGGGGAGGGCGCGGGGCGCGGGUGCGGAUGCUCGGGAGGCUGCGGGUUUUCAGCUGUGGUCAAAGCUUUGUGACCAUGCGACAAGACAAAAGAAUCACCUCCAUCAGCUGCUAAAGUGGUUAUCUGCUCAGCACCAUCCUACAAGCACAAUAGAUGUGAAGUCCCUGGAACAAUUUGUCAUGAUCAUCAUGCUUGGGUAAACACUGUUGAUGCUGCUGCACAGAGAAGUUUUCAAAUAAUGCAUAUUGAAUGCUAGGAACAAUUUACUGCUGGUAAAUGAAGCAAAAAUUGUCUUUUUCUUGGAUUAUUAUUAGUAUUAUUUUAACUGCACUUACAACAAAUUGUACCACCAACAAGUUUUAGAGGGUAUGUUUCAAUUUUACAGCUGGAACUAAACACAGCUUAGAUUGUGGAACUGGCCUAGUAUUGGGCUGCCAUUAUUCUCAUUGCUUUUAAAUGUAUUAAAUGCAUACAUGCCUUUUUUUUUUCUCUCUCUUUUUUUUUUUUUUUUAACGUAUAUAUUUGAAAUCUACUAUUCACCUGGGGAUAAAAGAAAACAGCAACAGAGUAGCAGCAAAGAUAUGCUGAUGUGCAAUAACCCAGCUUAAAAAUAGGCACUAUCUGUCAGCAUUCAAGGCAUUCUCAGAAUAAACUGUUCACAGCUCCUCCUUCUUCUGACA